rnacentral:lncRNA from 1 species
GGCCCUUCUCCUUUGCACCUCGUGCAGUGCUGUUAUGUUGAGCAUCCCGUGGUACUUAAAAGCCAAAUGACCAUUUGUAAUUUUUUGGACACAAGGGUGUUCAAAGCUGAAAUGAAGAGCCACACAUAGGGUGCAACAUUUAUUUAUUCACGCUUGUCUUUUCUUCUUGAAAACAAUGUGAAUUCCAAACACCUCGCAAUGUAAUUUUCAUCUUUUGAGACCUGAUCCAGCGUUCAUGAAGGACAAAAUAAUGAUGUGACAAAGUUAUUACAGAUUAAAGAGUUGAGUUAAAACAUACUCUUGGAACGAGGGAGGGAGGUUUAAGAAAGAAAGCCGUUUCAAAUAAGUGACCAACUAGAGUUCCGUGACAGGCACAAGUGCUCCAGCGAAGAGUCUAUGGGCUGGGAUGAUGGCAGGUGGAAUUCCGCCCAAGAUACAGACGUAAAGAUGACUGGCUCCAGGGCCCUCGAAGAAAGCCUCUACUCGGAGAGCCUCCGAACAGACACAUCGCCUUUCUAACAACUGCACCUGGAGCACAAAGGCACCCUCCCGUCACUUUGAUUAGUCAACCUAACUUCCUCAGUUUCCGCCUAGUCUUCGCUAUUACCCCAGGAACUAGAAACUCGUCCAAACUCCACUCUGGACGCUGCAGAGAGAUGAAGCUCGAUUACACAUUCAGCACAGCGUCCUCAGCUCUUCCUCUCACGGGUUUUAGUCUUUAACAGGCACCAACGCAGACACAACCUCAAAACCUACCUACCCAUCAGCUGGGCGGCCGGCCCCACCGCCGGCCAGUUACCUGCAGGGCUCGGCACUCCCGCCCACUCUCAAGGCCCCCGGGAGCUGUCCCUCUGCUGAUCCCGGCGCACCCCAAAAACCCCGCGGUGCACAGCCCGCCUCCUCGCUCCACCGGCGACAGCGCCGCCGGUCCUUCCACCCUGCGGGAAGGGGAGGAGGAGAGGUCGGCUGUCACGCAAGCCCUCGCAAGCAGGCGCCGGGCACAAGGAAAAAGGCUGCCCAGAACGGCCGGCUCGCACCCGGCCUUCCGACCC